UCUCAUGGAAAUCAGCUAGCAGGUCAGGCUGCUAAACAAACAGCAGAAGGACAAGUAUUACUAAUACUGCCAGGAAAAUACCCAGUACUGGAAAAUAGUCCAGGAUAUCAAAAAGAAGAUGAUCAAUUAGCUGAGUUACUGAAGGCAAAAAAAGAAAGGGUGGUGGAUCACUGUACACAACAGUAAUCUUAACAACCCCUCUCCUAAAGGAAAUGAUAGAUCAGGAACACAAGCGUACCCAUUGGGGUGUGAAAAUAUUAGUGGACAAUCUAAAAUUGUGAGUGUUAAGAAUAGGAAUGGGAAGAAUUCUUUACAGUAUUGUGAAGAAGUUUGAAAUAUGCCAGAGGAAUAAUCCUCAAAUACAACCGCAACCUCUUCCUAGAGAGGUGAAGAAAAGAAAUACAGCAGGACACUAUUGGGAAAUAGAUUUCUUCAGAAUUACCAUGACAAAAUGUGCAUUGGUAUUUAUUGGGUUUGGUAGAUGCUUUUUCAGGAUGGCUGGAAGCUUUUCAUUGUUGAACAAAUCAGGCUAAAGAGGUAAGGUAUUAUUAAAAGGGAUUAUCCCAAGAUAAUGGAAUCCCAAUAGAAAUGUCAUCAGAUAGGGGGCCUUGUUUUGUAGCUAAAAUAAUAAAAAAACUACCUUAACCACUACACAUAAAACGACAUCUCUAUACCCCCUGGAGACCCUUGUCCAAUGGAAAAGUAGAAAGAAUGAAUCGGUCAAUUGAGAGACAUACAAGUAAAAUGUGUCAGGAAACCAAAUGAAAAUGGCCAGACAUAUUGCCUUUGGCCCUAUUAAUAAGAAUAAUCCCCAACAAUAGAGAUAAAGUAAGUACAUUUGAGGUUUUAUAUGAGCGACCUUACCAGAUGAUGAAUAUGAACCAGCUUCUGCCAGUAUGCUGUAACAGGGGUAUUUAAAGGACUAUGUGAUGUCUUUAGGAAAAGUGUUAUUUUCUGUCAACAAGUAUUUGCAAUUACAUGCACCAUUAGCAUUGAAUACAGUAGUUCAUUGUUUCAAACCUGAUUUGGUCUGCCUCCGGAUGUAGAACAAUGAACCUCUAAAGGAACAUUGGAAGGGACCUUUUCAGGCCUUGUUCAACCUGCACCAUGGUGAAACUGCAGGGAGUGGAACUGUGGAUCUGUAAAAAGUAGUAAAAUAGAAUUUUUGCAGUCAGCCACUAAACUAACUGUCAGAGCAAGAUAACAAGAUGGCGGUUAAGGUGGGAACUGGGUUACUGGUUACAGUUCAUAACAAGUUCACCAGUGUGCAGGUUAGCAAAUAAGGGGAAGGGGCUCUUAAAUUAGAAUAGUGGGAGAUGCAGAUGGGUGGGAGUUCACAUGGGAUGUUCAGGUGCCUUGGAUAGGCUGUAAACCUUGGAGUACCCGACCAGUGGGAAACAAGGGAGGGUUGUUGCAGUCAGGGAUAGGGAAUAUAAGGAAGAACUUUGUAGUCACUGGGUGUGCUUUCUUAUUAGGACACCCAUUUUUGCAAAAAUGUUUAAUAAAUCACUUCUUCACUGUUGCCUCUAAUCUGAGUCUUUACAAGAAAAGUUUUGAAGUUUCUAACAGAUCCACUACCCUUGAAAGAAGGCCGCAAAUCCAGAGAAGUGGGAAGUAACUCCAGCAGAACCAUUAAAAGUGGAAUUCAGAAAAAGAACUUGAUAAAAUGUCGGACUUUAAUCACAUGCGAUUGAUGUUACUAGUAAUUCUUGAUAUGUCAAGAUAACGUGAUUUUGAAAUUGCUGCAAUCCUUUGGAAAAAUGCACAAUGCUAGUAGCCUUAUGGCUUGCCAUAACCAGCAGAGCAUCCUGUAGGAUGGAGGGUAUAAACUUUUAUCUCAUCUAUGGAAUUCCCUCCACAAUGGGUCCCAGGUAAUAAAUAUACCUAGGGAUCAAAGAAUAUAUUGUAGUAAUAAUACACAUUGUUGGACAAAAAUCCCACAGUCCUUACAGAAUAGAUUUGCAAUUAACAGCAUUACUGGACAAAUGGAGGUUCUGGUAGAUGCUACUAAAACCAGAUUUUCGGACCUAAAUCAACAGGUGCAAGCCAAUUCAAAGAGGACUUUACAGAAUAGACAAGCUUUAGAUUUAUUGUUAGCCCAAGAACAUGGCCUAUGUGGAAUAUUUACAUUUGGAUCCCGACUGGUGUUUUACACAUGCACCUAAUGUCACUUAACCCUUGCAAAAACAGUGAGAAUUAAACAAGUGGCUAAAGCAAGUAGAGAAAUUAAUGAAAGAAUAGAAACCAGUAUCAGCUCUGCUUCAUAAAUGAGGCUUAUCUCUGCCAAACUGGCCCUCGAGCAUAAUGUAAACUUUGUUAUUAUAGUUAUUAUAUUGAUUGUAAGAAUCUGUAUAGGAAGUGUUUGGAAAGCAAUAGAAAAGAGUAUAUGGGAGUACUAAAAUUGCAUUGAUACUGGAUUAUUUAGUUAAAUUAGGCUGAGUUAACAUGGUAAAAUUUUUUUUAUGUAAAGAAGUAUAAACUGGAAUAUACAAGACACUCCAAUAUUUAAACUGGAAAUCUUUAAACACCACACCCUAUUGUUGUUUUACAAUGAUACAAAACAUGGAACUGAGACUUUGAAAGGGGAAAAUAAUGCUUGCAACAUCUUGCAAAACAAUGCUAAACCCCAAAGGACUGAGCAAAACCUGUAAAUGUUUGCAGCAUCUUGUGAGAGGAUGCUUGCUGCAAUCGUAGUUCUGCUACAUAACUGUGAUAAUGUACAAAGACUUCUCUAAACAAAGAACAUCCAUCUUGCUUCUCCGGGAAAUGAGUCAGGACUGAUAAGGAGGAACAUCUGUCUCCAACCCUCGGACAACAGCCUAGAAGAAAAUGAGCAAUAAUUAGGUGGGGGAGUGGGGGCAGCCUGACCACCAACUCAAGAAACCCAUUGACUCAAUAGAAAGGCAGAGCCUGCGUCCCUGAUCAGCAUAAGAAGUGAGAGGGACCUUUAAUAUUCCGCCACCAGUAUGGGGUAGAAUACUAAUUAAUGAACAAAUUGUAUAACUCUCAACCAAUGAACACAGAUUUCUUUUUUUGUCAAAAUGUAUAAAUAGUGUAAAGUUACAAUCAUGAUUGAUUUGUGCUUGGUUUGUGGAGACUUCCACAUAGGUCUCUGCCCAGAAUAAAUGUCUCCUUUCCUAA